GUUUUCAGGGUUUAAAUGGCAGUCAUUGAUAUGAACAGAACCACCCCUGCUGACACCCUGUAGGGGAUAAAGCCGGAAUCUUCAGAAGGAAAAAAUCAUGAGUUUUCUACACUCAGAAAUUAAUGCUCAGGCAUGAAGAGUAAGCCUGGAGCUGGGGCAGAAGGCCUUUGAGAAGUCUGGCCUGGGCAUCUCCUGAGAGGGGCUUUCAUUCUUUUCUUUUUUUCAUUCUACAAAUGAUUCCUGCACAUCGACUGCAUUCAAGGGGAUGCAACGUUGACAAGACAGACAAGAGACUAACCUAUGAAAAAGCAAGGGCUAUGGAUCAAGUAUUCUUUGAAGUGCCCUGUUCACUUCAUGGUUCUGUAGAGAAUUAGAAAACUUCCAGGAGUUUCCAAGAAUGCUGAUAUCCAGUUCACCACUUUACCCACUGGUGAGGAGAAGAAAGUCAAAGGAAACCAUAUGUCUUAGACCUUAGUCUCCACUGGUGACCUCUGUCUACCUUGACCCUUUCUCUAUCAGAGGCAACAAGAAAAGGAACCAGGGCUAUAAAUCCUGUUAAAGAUGGGCCAUGAGUGUCCUUCUGGCCUACUAAUUUUAUCACGAUUAGUUUCUAACUGGACAAGAGAGCACUUCCAGUCUGAGACAAAGCCAGAUUAAAGGAAGAAAUCUAUUCUUCUUACUCUAAUUUGAAGGCCUGCGGCUAGUGACUGAGGCGGGGGUGCACCACGUCUUCAACCAAGGGCAGCACAGAAGAAGUAGAGUCCCUCUCAGCUGGAGGGUCUGAUGAUGCUUCUCUCCUCAUCAAAGCUGGAGGCAGGAGGCAGCUUCCUGUCCAUGACUCUCACCGCCUUGUCUUGGUCAUGGCAAGUUU
rnacentral:lncRNA from 1 species